AAUGAACGCUGGCGGCAGGCCUAACACAUGCAAGUCGAGCGGAUGAACGGAGCUUUCUCCUGGAUUCAGCUGCGGACGGGCGAGUAAUGCCUACGAAUCUGCCUGGUAGUGGAGGAUAACGUCCGUAAACGGACGCUAAUCCAGCAUACGACCAGAGGGAGAACGUCAGGGAUCUUCGGACCUCACGCUAUCAGAUGACCCUAGGUCGGAUUAGCUAGUUGGUGGGGUAAAGGCCUACCAAGGCGACGAUCCGUAACUGCUCUGAGAGGAUGAUCAGUCACACUGGAACUGAGACACGGUCCAGACUCCUACGGGAGGCAGCAGUGGGGAAUAUUGGACAAUGGGCGAAAGCCUGACCCAGCCAUGCCGCGUGUGUGAAGAAGGUCUUCGGAUUGUAAAGCACUUUAAGUUGGGAGGAAGGGCAGUAAGAGAAAACAUUGCUGUUUUGACGUUACCAACAGAAUAAGCACCGGCUAACUUCGUG
rnacentral:rRNA from 1 species